AGUGAACACUGGCGGUAGGCCUAACACAUGCAAGUCGAACGGCAGCACAGUAAGAGCUUGCUCUUACGGGUGGCGAGUGGCGGACGGGUGAGGAAUACAUCGGAAUCUACUUUUUCGUGGGGGAUAACGUAGGGAAACUUACGCUAAUACCGCAUACGACCUACGGGUGAAAGCAGGGGAUCUUCGGACCUUGCGCGAUUGAAUGAGCCGAUGUCGGAUUAGCUAGUUGGCGGGGUAAAGGCCCACCAAGGCGACGAUCCGUAGCUGGUCUGAGAGGAUGAUCAGCCACACUGGAACUGAGACACGGUCCAGACUCCUACGGGAGGCAGCAGUGGGGAAUAUUGGACAAAGGGCGCAAGCCUGAUCCAGCCAUACCGCGUGGGUGAAGAAGGCCUUCGGGUUGUAAAGCCCUUUUGUUGGGAAAGAAAAGCAGCAGGUUAAUACCCCGCUGUUCUGACGGUACCCAAAGAAUAAGCACCGGCUAACUUCGUG
rnacentral:rRNA from 1 species